rnacentral:rRNA from 1 species
GAUGAACGCUGGCGGCGUGCCUAAUACAUGCAAGUCGAGCGAACGGACGAGAAGCUUGCUUCUCUGAUGUUAGCGGCGGACGGGUGAGUAACACGUGGAUAACCUACCUAUAAGACUGGGAUAACUUCGGGAAACCGGAGCUAAUACCGGAUAAUAUUUUGAACCGCAUGGUUCAAAAGUGAAAGACGGUCUUGCUGUCACUUAUAGAUGGAUCCGCGCUGCAUUAGCUAGUUGGUAAGGUAACGGCUUACCAAGGCAACGAUGCAUAGCCGACCUGAGAGGGUGAUCGGCCACAUGAGAACUUAGACGCGGUACAGACUCCUACGGGAGGCAGCAGUAGGGAAUCUUCCGCAAUGGGCGAAAGCCUGACGGAGCAACGCCGCGUGGGUGAUGAAGGUCUUCGGAUCGUAAAACUCGGUUAUUAGGGAAGAACAUAUGUGUAAGUAACUGGGCACAUCUUGACGGUACCUAAUCAGAAAGCCACGGCUAACUACGUG